GACAGAGGGUGCAAACGUUGUUCGGAAUUACUGGGCGUAAAGCGCGUGUAGGCUGCUUCAAAAGUCGGGUGUGAAAGCCCUGGGCUCAACCUAGGAAGUGCACUCGAAACUGCGGAGCUUGAGUCCUGGAGAGGAAGGCGGAAUUCUCGGUGUAGAGGUGAAAUUCGUAGAUAUCGAGAGGAACACCGGUGGCGAAGGCGGCCUUACUGGACAGUGACUGACGCUGAGACGGCGAAAGCGUGGGGAGCAAACAGGG
rnacentral:rRNA from 1 species